rnacentral:rRNA from 1 species
UGAGGAAUAUUGGACAAUGGGUGAGAGCCUGAUCCAGCCAUCCCGCGUGAAGGACGACUGCCCUAUGGGUUGUAAACUUCUUUUAUACUGGGAUAAACCUACCCUCGUGAGGGUAGCUGAAGGUACAGUAUGAAUAAGCACCGGCUAACUCCGUGCCAGCAGCCGCGGUAAUACGGAGGGUGCAAGCGUUAUCCGGAUUUAUUGGGUUUAAAGGGUCCGUAGGCGGACUCGUAAGUCAGUGGUGAAAUCUCAUAGCUUAACUAUGAAACUGCCAUUGAUACUGCGGGUCUUGAGUAAAGUAGAAGUGGCUGGAAUAAGUAGUGUAGCGGUGAAAUGCAUAGAUAUUACUUAGAACACCAAUUGCGAAGGCAGGUCACUAUGUUUUAACUGACGCUGAUGGACGAAAGCGUGGGGAGCGAACAGG